AUUGAACGCUGGCGGCAGGCCUAACACAUGCAAGUCGAGCGAGAGGCGGACGGGGGUGUAAAGUAUGUGGAUCUGCCCGAUAGAGGGGGGUAACAACUGUAAACGGUAGCUAAUAUCGCAUAUUAUCGGAUGAACCCACAGGGGAGUAGCGAGUAGGUGGGGUAAUGGCUCACCUAGGCGACGCUCCCUAGCUGGUCUGAGAGGAUGAUCAGCCACACUGGGACUGAGACACGGCCCAGACUCCUACGGGAGGCAGCAGUGGGGAAUAUUGCACAAUGGGCGCAAGCCUGAUGCAGCCAUGCCGCGUGUAUGAAGAAGGCCCUCGGGUUGUAAAGUACUUUCAGUGGGGAGGCGUUACCGGCAGAAGAAGCACCGGCUAACUCCGUGCCAGCAGCCGCGGUAAUAC
rnacentral:rRNA from 1 species